GGGAAGGCUGGAGUUCGCGCGUCAGGCUAGAUCUAGGCUAGGCCUUCGCUGGCCUCGCGGGAAGUGUAAUCGGGUCGGGAGCUGAGUGUGGACUGAAAAGCAGAGGACUGCACUGACUACAGAUGUCACAUUCAAUUCCUGGAACAAUUCUAUUAGCAUUGCCUCCGAAAAAUCCUGCAAAUCUCUUGGGAUGACAGGUGGACAAAUGUCAGCAUUCUGGAAGAAGCGAAGACCACCAGCAUUGGAGUGAUGCUCCUACUCCAUCAACUCCGUUGGACUGGCUAUGUUGUCCGAAUGCCCAAUCACCGUCUCCCAAAGCAGCUAAUAUACUCCCAACUCAAGAAUGGAAAAUGGAAUAUUGGUGAACAGGAAAAGAGAUUUAAAGAUGGGCUUAAAGCUAACCUUAAAAACUAUGGCAUAGACACCGAGACUGGGAAGCCUUGGCCAUUGAGCGCCCUAACUGGAGAUCAACUAUGACCAGCAGUGCUGCAGAACUCGAAGAAGCACGAAUGGAGGGCGAAAAGGAGAAAUGUGCCAGGAAGAAGGCAUGUCAAACCAACCCUGACCAGGACCACCUUCCACCUGGAAGAACGUGGGAUCAGGAAUAGGGCUCCACAGUCACCUAUGGACCCACCACAAAGACCCUAUGCUUGGAAGGCCAUCAUAGUCAGACAACAAAGGAUUGCCUAAGAAGACAGUAAAAAGACUUCUUGACAUGGCCUAGCAUUAUUUAACCUCUAUAUAAUUACACAUUGUAACCCAACACAUUGAAGCACAUCUUUAUUGUUAUUUUGUUAGAUUUAUAUCUUAAAAAGCAAUGUGGAAGGGUAUUUUAAACCCUUUCCUACAUGCUGCAUGUAUUCUAAAUCUUAAAUUACAACUGUUACUAUUGGGUAUCAAAACACUUUUUAAGGGUGAAUGCAUGUAUCUGUAAUAAACCACAAACUACACGUAUCUUAAA